UAGGGAAUAUUGCACAAUGGAGGAAACUCUGAUGCAGCGACGCCGCGUGAGUGACGAAGGCCUUCGGGUUGUAAAGCUCUGUUCUCAGGGAAAAAGCAAGUGAUUGUACCUGAGAAGAAAGGACCGGCUAACUUCGUGCCAGCAGCCGCGGUAAGACGAGGGGUCCAAGCGUUGUUCGGAAUCAUUGGGCGUAAAGCGGGUGUAGGUGGCUCUAUAAGUCAGGAGUGAAAUCCCCGAGCUUAACUCGGGAAGUGCUUUUGAUACUGCAGAGCUUGAAUGUGGGAGAGGAUCGUGGAAUUCCAGGUGUAGUGGUGAAAUACGUAGAUAUCUGGAGGAACACCGGUGGCGAAGGCGGCGAUCUGGGCCCCAACAUUUGACACUGAGACCCGAAAGCGUGGGGAUCAAACAGGAUUAGAUACCCCUGUAGUCCC
rnacentral:rRNA from 1 species